rnacentral:rRNA from 1 species
UACGUAGGGUGCGAGCGUUAAUCGGAAUUACUGGGCGUAAAGUGUGCGCAGGCGGCCGAGCAAGUCGAGUGUGAAAGCCCCGAGCUUAACUUGGGAAUUGCGCUCGAAACUACUUGGCUGGAGUGUGGCAGAGGAAGGUGGAAUUCCAGGUGUAGCGGUGAAAUGCGUAGAUAUCUGGAGGAACACCGGUGGCGAAGGCGGCAUUCUGGACCAUUACUGACGCUGAGGAGCGAAAGCCAGGGGAGCAAACGGG